CUGGCUCAGGAUGAACGCUAGCGACAGGCCUAACACAUGCAAGUCAGGGGCAGCACAAGGAGCAAUCUGAGGUGGCGACCGGCGCACGGGUGAGUAACACGUAUGCAACCUGCCUGUAAGCGGGGAAUAACCCGUUGAAAGACGGACUAAUACCGCAUAAUACUAAAUUACUGCAUGGUAAUUUAUUUAAACAUUUAUGGCUUACAGAUGGGCAUGCGCAUGAUUAGCUAGUUGGAGAGGUAACGGCUCCCCAAGGCAACGAUCAUUAGGGGUUCUGAGAGGAAGGUCCCCCACACUGGUACUGAGACACGGACCAGACUCCUACGGGAGGCAGCAGUGAGGAAUAUUGGUCAAUGGACGAGAGUCUGAACCAGCCAAGUCGCGUGCAGGAAGAAUUGUCCUAUGGAUUGUAAACUGCUUUUGCAGGGGAAUAAAGUGCAUCACGUGUGAUGUUUUGUAUGUACUCUGCGAAUAAGGAUCGGCUAACUCCGUGCCAGCCGCCGC
rnacentral:rRNA from 1 species